rnacentral:tRNA from 1 species
GCCUGGGUGGCUCAGUUGCUUAAGUGUCUGACUUCAGCUCAGGUCAUGAUCUCAGUUUGUGGGUUUGAGCCCCACAUCAGGCU